rnacentral:rRNA from 1 species
UACGAACUGUGCGAACGUUAUUCGGAAUCACUGGGCUUACAGGGUGCGUAGGCGGCUUGUUAAGUAGGGUGUGAAAGCCCCCGGCUCAACCGGGGAACUUGCGCCCUAAACUGGCGAGCUGGAGUGAGAUAGGGGUGUGUGGAACUUCCGGUGGAGCGGUGAAAUGUGUUGAUAUCGGAAGGAACGCCGGUGGCGAAAGCGACACACUGGAUCUUGUCUGACGCUGAGGCACGAAAGCCAGGGGAGCGAACGGG